CACGUAGGGGGCAAGCGUUGUCCGGAUUUAUUGGGCGUAAAGAGCUCGUAGGUGGUUCGGUAAGUCAGGUGUGAAACCUCCAGGCUCAACCUGGAGACGCCACUUGAUACUGCUGUGACUGGAGUCCGGUAGGGGAGCGUGGAAUUCCUGGUGUAGCGGUGAAAUGCGCAGAUAUCAGGAGGAACACCCAGCGGCGAAGGCGGCGCUCUGGGCCGGUACUGACACUGAGGAGCGAAAGCGUGGGGAGCAAACAGG
rnacentral:rRNA from 1 species